UCUUCUGUGGCGCAAUUGGCUAGCGCGUUCGACUGUUAUGAAGUGCAAUCGAGAGGUUGGAGGUUCGAGCCCUCCCAGAAGAG